rnacentral:rRNA from 1 species
GGCGUAUUGAGGCCGACAUCGCAUGCUCCCGGCCGCCAUGGCGGCCGCGGGAAUUCGAUCUAUAGAAUAAGCCACGGCUAAUUCCGUGCCAGCAGCCGCGGUAAUACGGGAGUGGCAAGCGUUAUCCGGAAUUAUUGGGCGUAAAGCGUCCGCAGGCGGCCUUUCAAGUCUGCUGUUAAAGCGUGGAGCUUAACUCCAUUAUGGCAGUGGAAACUGAUCGGCUUGAGUAUGGUAGGGGCAGGGGGAAUUCCCGGUGUAGCGGUGAAAUGCGUAGAUAUCGGGAAGAACACCAGUGGCGAAGGCGCUCUGCUGGGCCAUUACUGACGCUCAUGGACGAAAGCCAGGGGAGCGAAAGGGAUUAGAUACCCCAGUAGUCAAUCACUAGUGAAUUCGCGGCCGCCUGCAGGUCGACCAUAUGGGAGAGCUCCCAACGCGUUGGAUGCAUAGCUUGAGUAUUCUAUAGUGUCACCUAAAUAGCUUGGCGUAAUCAUGGUCAUACUGGUUUCCUG